rnacentral:piRNA from 1 species
UCCACUGUGCAGUGUUCCAGUUCCCAACC